UACGUAGGGGGCAAGCGUUGUCCGGAUUUAUUGGGCGUAAAGAGCGUGUAGGCGGCCAGGUAGGUCAGCUGUGAAAACUCGAGGCUCAACCUCGAGCUGUCGGCUGAAACCAUCUGGCUAGAGUCCGGAAGAGGAGAAUGGAAUUCCCGGUGUAGCGGUGAAAUGCGCAGAUAUCGGGAAGAACAUCAGUGGCGAAGGCGGCCUGCUGGGCUGUUGCUGACGCUGAGGCGCGACAGCGUGGGGAGCAAACAGG
rnacentral:rRNA from 1 species